ensembl:lncRNA
GCAGGGACUCUCCCCUCAGCGCCUCGAUCGCAGAGAGAGAACAGAAUUCUUUUUAUAUCACCUGGAGCUUUACUAAGAAUGUCGCAUGAUUCUCCACUAAGUGGAACCCAUCCCUCCGGGGGCUUAUAAUAAAGUGAAGCACCACAGUGACAAAAUAAUCCUGCGGAAGGCACCAGGUUGGGGCAUGAAGUCCUGCUGCAGAUCCACUUGGGCUGUUGCUGAUGGAUCAGCUGAUGAGCAAAUCGUUUGAGCUCCCUCUGCCACCACGCCUGCCUCCUAAAUGGUGUGACAGCAGCUUGAAGAGAUCCACAGCUCUCCAAGAGCAGUUUCCUUGGUGGUUCUCAAAAACGCCUCAAGAAAAAUGUCCAACACUUAGCAAAACCUAAGGCAUUGUCUUUGAGGAGUCGCACACCAGCAGGAAGUGACCGAGGAAACUUGAGGAUCAGAGAGAAUAAGAGGUUUAUCCAAGGCCACCAUUGUCAGCAGACAAGCUGGGACUGCAAGCUGGAGAAUCUGACCAGGGCGCAGUGGACACUGCGAUGUGCUACCCAGAGCCUGUUCAGGAACAACUUAUCUCCCCAGCUGCUGGAAGUGCUAUCACAAGAGAGCCCUCAAAUGUCAAAGUGCCUCAGCUGACAAGAGUCACCUUGCCCAAGGUCAUACACCGUUUCCAGGUGGCUCACACCCAGUGAUGGAGGGUUACAAAGGACGCCAGCUGGGACAACUCUAAAGGGCCCUUCCAGCUCCACAGCUCCCCAAGGGGUCACCUGAGGCCUUCCUCUGCCCAUUCUGCUUCCUUCCUCUCCUUUCCACAGGUGUGGCUCCCCAGACCUCUCCCUAAUAAACACCCGGACAAUAAUCUUCCCCUCAGAGUUGACUUCCCAGAGAACCCAACAUGUGACAGUUGGGAGGUACCAGGAGUGGUUGGAGAAAGCAGACACUAAGAUGAGAUAUUGGAGCUGGAUCAUCUGCCACCAGACUGAUGAUGAAAACCCAUCGCUGGUGGGAGGCAGAGGCCAGACAGCCCUGGCACACGAUGGAAGCACAGUUGUUGGAACCUCCAGCAGUGGUGAAAAGGGACAGCAUAUGAGUGUAGGGAAUGCAUUAACUGGUGCCAUGCAUCCGGCACUUGAGAAAUGCAGGGGAAAUCAUUGCCAUAAGGACAACAGAAUUGCGUGACUACUGUUGAAGCUGAUUGACUUCUGGAAAAAGAUAAGGAAAACCUGAGAGUGAUUAAUCAACCAUUUAAAGCCAGGUUUGACAGCCAGGGGCCUUCUUGGGGGCAGGUAAAGAGGCUCUCAUCUUCUGCGGGGGGAGGCAGACAAGACUGAAGACAGGCAAGGAACUCCAUCUCCAGAGCAGCAGUUUCAGAAAGGCUUACACUUUUAAACAAGCCAUGCCUGCUGUACCAAGGCCAGGGCUCUGGUUGGAAAGAAUGGUCCCCUGACACAUGGGAUGGGAUGCCCAGGGUGAGGCUGCUGAGAAUCUUGAAAGUCUGGAUACUGCUGACCCCUCUGAGCCCACAGAAUAGGCUGCUCCUCCCCAGCCCCCUGCUUGAAGAUGGUGCAGAGGCCUCUCCCCGAUCAAACGUGUGUGCUCCUUUCAGGGUCAGACCCAUCUCCCCUUCUGGCCACAAAUCCUAUUACUAGGGUAAAGGCACAACUUAGCCCAGCCAGGGACAUGCUGGGCCUGAGAAGGAGGAAAGGGACUCUCCCACUAAGGAGCUGGAGCUGCAGGACCCACCACCUGGAGCAGCAGGGCGGGCAGGGCAUGCAGAGGACGGGACUCUGAGGAUGCUGGGGCAACGGGGGUGGAACACGACGGCUGAUAAAGGAAAUGUUAUGGGUUGGGAGCCUUCUCCUGGAUCCAGGAUGGAGCAUCCAAGGAAGGGCCUGGGGGAUGGUGCGGACAUGCUACCAGGAAGGCCCCUGGUAGUGGGAGAGGUGAUGCUGCACUGAGGCCAGAAUGCCAGAGCUUCAGCGGCACGUGGUGAAGAGAUUAAACUGCUCAGAGGAAUGUACAUGCUCACGGGGUAUCCUACACAAGGCUGGAAAACUCAGCAGGGGGAUAGACUCCCCAUGAAGGUCCAUGGGACACUCUGCUCCCCAAGGCACUAAGGAGUCCGCUGGUGAGAGGGGCUCCGGCUGCGCUCAGAAGUUCAGUGGUGGCUCUGCAGGACACGCUGCCACAGACCUGGACUCACCGACAGGAAAGGGAAUGAAAGGACUCCAAAACCACAGAGGCCACUUCAUGGCAUGUCACCAUCAGAAGCCAGGGGAGGCAAUUAUCACAGUGAGUGUGCAGGUCAGAGGUGUAGCCAGGGCUCCUGACCCACAGGGAGUUAGGAAAAUAGUUACUAGAACACAGGGCCCCUGGGGCAAAAUAGAGGGGCAGCCAAAAAGGAUAGCAUUCCAUCUGUGCAAUCAAGGAAAUCAAGCAUGGAGGAACUGGAGGCUGAGGGCAGUACCCCAGUUUCACUCAAUUUCUAGACGUGAUCCAGAUUUUGGACCCAGAGCUCACUGACUGGAGGAGAAUCUGUGUCCCCAGGAGGAGGGAAGGAGAGAAGGAAGGAAGGAACGAACGAAGGAACGAAGGAAGGAAGGAAGGGAGGGAAGGAUGGAGGAAGGAAGGAAGGAAGGCAGGGCCUGC